rnacentral:rRNA from 1 species
GCGUGGGUGAUGAAGGCCUUCGGGUUGUAAAGCCCUUUCGCACGCGACGAUGAUGACGGUAGCGUGAGAAGAAGCCCCGGCCAACUUCGUGCCAGCAGCCGCGGUAAUACGAAGGGGGCGAGCGUUGUUCGGAAUUACUGGGCGUAAAGGGCGCGUAGGCGGCUUUGUCAGUCGGGCGUGAAAUCCCCGGGCUCAACCUGGGCAUGGCGUUCGAGACGGCGGAGCUGGAGUUCGGGAGAGGCGGGCGGAAUUCCCAGUGUAGAGGUGAAAUUCGU